AGUUUGCCUGCCUAUGUGGAGAAAUAAGCUCAAACAAAGGUUAAUGUUUUUAAAGGUCUUCUGUAUCAGGGUUUUAUUAAGUUAAGGACCUGGUAUUUUUAUAUGCUGUACUCAAUCAGAGAGCUGUUUUAUCAUAGACUUUCCACAAACCUUGAAAUAUUUAAACAGGGAAUUUUCCCGUAGCUCAAGUAGCGCAGAUCAGAUCCGUUUCAGAUGUUUACCUCAGCCUCUCCAGAUUUUCUACAGGGAAAGCAGAUCUCUGUUCUGCUGCAGCAGCGCAGGGGAUACCACGUACAAAGGAGAGCUGCAUCAUGAGUGCUAAGCUGCUCUGGACUGCCUGGGCCUGGCUGCAGAAGACGACCCAAAACUAAAGAAACUGGAGAACAUAAUUUGUUCCUGAUGCUCCUGAGGCCUAACCUGCUCUCGCUGUCAACACACCACUAUGAAUACAAGAUGAAGCACCAACUGGUCAUUGGAGGACAAGAGCUUAUGCAGGUGCUGAGGUGAGAUUCUCACAAAGUCUUCACAUUCCACCACCUCAGUGAAGUGUUCGCAGGCGUACUGAUCGGCCAUGUCCAUCAAGUCAAUGCGGUUGUGA